rnacentral:tRNA from 1 species
GCCGCACUAGAGAAAUGGUUAACUCGUCGGCCUCCUACUCCCUUCUGGAAAGUAGAGUUUAUAACAGCCGAAGAUUCCCGGUUCGAGUCCGGGGUGUGGUG